UACGUAGGGACCGAGCGUUGUCCGGAUUCAUUGGGCGUAAAGAGCUCGUAGGCGGCUGUUCAAGUCGAACGUGAAACUCGGGGCUCAACCCCGAGCCUGCAGUCGAUACGGGCAGACUAGAGUGCUGUAGGGGAGACUGGAAUUCCUGGUGUAGCGGUGAAAUGCGCAGAUAUCAGGAGGAACACCGGUGGCGAAGGCGGGUCUCUGGGCCGAUACUGACGCUGAGGAGCGAAAGCGUGGGGAGCGAACAGG
rnacentral:rRNA from 1 species